rnacentral:snRNA from 1 species
AUAAAUGCGGUGUUCUCAGGGCGAAACCAACCCAUUGCACUCCGGGUGGGUUGACCCAGGCGAUUUCCCCAAAUGUGGGAAACUUGACCGUACAAUUUGUGGUUC